AGUAAAAGUCGUAACAAGGUCUCCGUUGGUGAACCAGCGGAGGGAUCAUUACAGAGUUAUCCAACUCCCAAACCCAUGUGAACUUAUCUCUUUGUUGCCUCGGCGCAAGCUACCCGGGACCUCGCGCCCCGGGGGGCCCGCCGGCGGACAAACCAAACUCUGUUAUCUUCGUUGAUUAUCUGAGUGUCUUAUUUAAUAAGUCAAAACUUUCAACAACGGAUCUCUUGGUUCUGGCAUCGAUGAAGAACGCAGCGAAAUGCGAUAAGUAAUGUGAAUUGCAGAAUUCAGUGAAUCAUCGAAUCUUUGAACGCACAUUGCGCCCAUUAGUAUUCUAGUGGGCAUGCCUGUUCGAGCGUCAUUUCAACCCCUAAGCACAGCUUAUUGUUGGGACUCUACGGCUUCGUAGUUCCCCAAAGACAUUGGCGGAGUGGCAGCAGUCCUCUGAGCGUAGUAAUUCUUUAUCUCGCUUUUUGUUAGGCGCUGCCCCCCCGGCCGUAAAACCCCCAAUUUUUUCUGGUUGACCUCGGAUCAGGUAGGAAUACCCGCUGAACUUAAGCAUAUCAAUAAGCGGAAGAAA
rnacentral:rRNA from 1 species